CGUAUUAUGCGCAGGCCAGCCCCCGCUGUAGUGCGGGCAGCGGCGUGUGGUAUCCACACUGUCAUCAUCAGCCGUUAAGU
rfam:Triticum urartu cultivar G1812 contig1244293, whole genome shotgun sequence.